rnacentral:tRNA from 1 species
CAGAGGAUAGUUUAAAAAAAAUAUUAAUUUUGGAGAUUAAUGAUAAAAGGUAGUUUUUCCUCUGA